rnacentral:rRNA from 1 species
UGGGGAAUUUUGCACAAUGGGGGAAACCCUGAUGCAGCGACGCCGCGUGAUUUAGAAGGCCUUCGGGUUGUAAAAAUCUUUUCUAUGGGAAGAAAAUGACAGUACCAUAGGAAUAAGGACCGGCUAAUUACGUGCCAGCAGCCGCGUUAAUACGUAAGGUCCGAGCGUUGUCCGGAAUCAUUGGGCGUAAAGGGUACGUAGGCGGGUAAGCAAGUUAGAAGUGAAAUCCUAUAGCUCAACUAUAGUAAGCUUUUAAAACUGCUCAGCUUGGAGUAUGGAAGGGAGAGUGGAAUUCCUAGUGUAGGGGUGAAAUGCGCAGAUAUGAGGAGGAAUACCGGUGGCGAAGGCGACUUUCUGGCCAGAACCUGACGCUGAGGUACGAAAGCGUGGGUAGGAAACAGG